rnacentral:rRNA from 1 species
GGGGCCCGCACAAGCGGCGGAGCAUGCGGAUUAAUUCNAUGCAACGCGAAGAACCUUACCAAGGCUUGACAUAUAGAGGAAACGGCUGGAAACAGUCGCCCCGCAAGGUCUCUAUACAGGUGGUGCAUGGUUGUCGUCAGCUCGUGUCGUGAGAUGUUGGGUUAAGUCCCGCAACGAGCGCAACCCUCGUCCUAUGUUGCCAGCACGUAAUGGUGGGAACUCAUGGGAUACUGCCGGGGUCAACUCGGAGGAAGGUGGGGAUGACGUCAAAUCAUCAUGCCCCUUAUGUCUUGGGCUUCACGCAUGCUACAAUGGCCGGUACAAAGGGCUGCAAUACCGUAAGGUGGAGCGAAUCCCAAAAAGCCGGUCUCAGUUCGGAUUGUCGUCUGCAACUCGACGGCAUGAAGCUGGAAUCGCUAGUAAUCGUGGAUCAGCAUCGCCACGGUGAAUACGUUCCCGGGCCUUGUACACACCGCCCGUCACGCCAUGGAAGUGGUGAGCGCCCGAAGUCCGUGUCGGAACCCGCAAGGGGCCAAGCGGCCGAAGGCGAGCAUCAUGACUGGGGGCGAAGUCGUAACAAGGUAACCGUAAGGGC